UAAAAUAAGAGACAUAAAAUAAUUUUUUCAGAAAUUUUAAAUGCCUAAAAGUAUAUUUAAACCAAUUAAAACAAAGGAGAAAAGAGAAAAUUUAAGAAAAAUAGAAAAUUGAGAAAAUAAAGUAUGGAAAAAUAAAAAUCAGAUGAAGAAAAAUAAAAGAAAAAUUUAGAAUUUUUUUUGGGAUUUUUUUGGAUAAAACAUGAAUUUUUCAUGAAUUUUAAAACAAAAUGAAAUUUAAAAUAAUAAGAGAGAAA
rnacentral:lncRNA from 1 species